AUACGGAAGGUCCGGGCGUUAUCCGGAUUUAUUGGGUUUAAAGGGAGCGCAGGCAGGUUAUUAAGCGUGACGUGAAAUGUAGCCGCUCAACGGCUGAACUGCGUCGCGAACUGGUAGUCUUGAGUGAGUACGACGCGGACGGAAUUCGUGGUGUAGCGGUGAAAUGCUUAGAUAUCACGAAGAACUCCGAUUGCGAAGGCAGUCCGCGAGUCCUUUACUGACGCUAAAGCUCGAAGGUGCGGGUAUCGAACAGGAUUAGAUACCCUGGUAGUCCGCACGGUAAACGAUGGAUGCCCGCUGUUGGCGAUACAUUGUCAGCGGCCAAGCGAAAGCGUUAAGCAUCCCACCUGGGGAGUACGCCGGCAACGGUGAAACUCAAAUGAAUUGGCGGGG
rnacentral:rRNA from 1 species